rnacentral:rRNA from 1 species
ACGCACGCUGGCGGCGUGCUUAACACAUGCAAGUCGAACGGAAAGGCCCUGCUUUUGUGGGGUGCUCGCGUGGCGAACGGGUGAGUAACACGUGAGUAACCUGCCCUUGACUUUGGGAUAACUUCAGGAAACUGGGGCUAAUACCGGAUAGGAGCUCCUGCUGCAUGGUGGGGGUUGGAAAGUUUCGGCGGUUGGGGAUGGACUCGCGGCUUAUCAGCUUGUUGGUGGGGUAGUGGCUUACCAAGGCUUUGACGGGUAGCCGGCCUGAGGGGGUGACCGGCCACAUUGGGACUGAGAUACGGCCCAGACUCCUACGGGAGGCAGCAGUGGGGAAUAUUGCACAAUGGGCGGAAGCCUGAUGCAGCAACGCCGCGUGCGGGAUGACGGCCUUCGGGUUGUAAACCGCUUUCGCCUGUGACGAAGCGUGAGUGACGGUAAUGGGUAAAGAAGCACCGGCUAACUACGUG